CCUGCAGUACGGGCUGGUCCAUGGUCGAUCAUCAUUUGGUUUAUAACAAUGGGUAGUUAUUUGGAAUUUUUUUUUUUUUAGUGUAACUGUUAGGAUUCAUACCAAUUUUCUGAGUUUUACAAAAUUUGUGGGAGACCACUUAUUACAUAAGAGCAAAAGGAGAGCUAAUUUUAACUAUAAGGAGAGAUAAAAUAAAGCUGAAGCAGAGAUGUGGAAGAAACAGUCGUUGAAGGGAAGGACAAUAGCCUGUCACACAUUG
rnacentral:lncRNA from 1 species